rnacentral:RNase_P_RNA from 1 species
AAAGCAGGUCAGGAUGGCCGCUCUGAUGCUUAUGGCGUCGGAGAGGAAAGUCCGAGCUCCAAAGGAUGAUGCAUCCCGAUAACGCGGGACAGUCUUGCGAAGCCAAACGCGAAAGCAUUUUGGCCCGGCAGACGAGGAUCAGAGCUACAGUGACGAUGCUCCCUCACGGGAGAGUGAAACGAGCAAUCUCUGCAUGGAGCAAUGCCAAAUAGGAGGGGAGUCGCAAGUUCCAUCGAAAGGUGGGACCCAUGACACGGGGUGAUCCGCUCCGUCAUACUCUCGGGUAGGCUGCAAGAUAUCCGCCAAAGGCGGAUGUUAGUCGAAUGGCCAUCGCCCUGCCAAGGGUCACAGAACUCGGCUUAUUGACUGCUUUUUUA